GAUACAUCUAUCACAAAAAAUAUAUCACAAAUCCGAUCCAUAUGCUAAUCCAUUGCCAUUGAUCCCGACAUGGAUGAGCAACUUUUCUUUUAACAAUCAGUAGGAUGGCGUCGGAUCAAGAUCUAUAACUAAGUUGUUCGAAAGUGGUGGCAAGCAAAGGCAUAUGGAGAGAGGGAUAACUAAGAGAGGUGCAAUCAAUGUCAAAAGGUGGGGGUAA
rnacentral:lncRNA from 1 species